GUAUGAACGGCUUCACGAAGGUUAUNCUGUCUCCUUUCUCUAAUCAGUGAAACUAAUCUCCCCGUGAAGAAGCGGGGAUAAACUUAUAAGACGAGAAGACCCUAUGGAGCUUUAAACAAAUGAACAAUUGCUAUAAAUAUCCAAAUUUCAGAAUUAUAAAACUUAUCUUUCGCAAUUUGAUUACUAGUUUUAGGUUGGGGUGACCGCGGAGUAAAAAGUAACCUCCACAUUGAAAGAAAUACUUUCUAAACAAAAAACUACAACUUUAUGUAUCAAUAAAUUGACAUCAAUUGACCCAAUAUUUUUGAUCAACGAACCAAGUUACCCUAGGGAUAACAGCGCAAUCUACUUCAAGAGCCCAUAUCGACAAGUAGGUUUACGACCUCGAUGUUGGAUCAGGGUACCCCAGUGGUGCAGCCGCUACUAACGGUUCGUUUGUU
rnacentral:rRNA from 1 species